GACGAACGCUGGCGGCGUGCCUAAUACAUGCAAGUAGAACGCUGAAGGAGGAGCUUGCUCUUCUGGAUGAGUUGCGAACGGGUGAGUAACGCGUAGGUAACCUGCCUGGUAGCGGGGGAUAACUAUUGGAAACGAUAGCUAAUACCGCAUAAGAGUAGAUGUUGCAUGACAUUUACUUAAAAGGUGUAAUUGCAUCACUACCAGAUGGACCUGCGUUGUAUUAGCUAGUUGGUGGGGUAACGGCUUACCAAGGCGACGAUACAUAGCCGACCUGAGAGGGUGAUCGGCCACACUGGGACUGAGACACGGCCCAGACUCCUACGGGAGGCAGCAGUAGGGAAUCUUCGGCAAUAGACGGAAGUCUGACCGAGCAACGCCGCGUGAGUGAAGAAGGUUUUCGGAUCGUAAAGCUCUGUUGUAAGAGAAGAACGAGUGUGAGAGUGGAAAGUUCACACUGUGACGGUAUCUUACCAGAAAGGGACGGCUAACUACGUG
rnacentral:rRNA from 1 species